CGGUCGGUCAUAUAAGGCCAUAUAAGAAUGUAAUCAAUUAAGGGAUCCAAACUUCAGUCAAAUGCUCCUUGGCGACUGCGAAAAGAUGAGAGCGAAUUUUGAAGACUUACUUUAAGAAGAAGAGAGAAAAACCCGUGGCUCUUGGCAGAAUGGGGAGAAGAAAUCUACGCUUGAUAAAGGGAUUUCCCCAGCCUCUCCGUCACAAGACAACUGGAGCCAGGACCGUCCCUUGAUUUGUUAUUGCUGCGGUAUAUGCAUGAAGGACGCCAUCUUCUUCAGAGACCAUCGGCUCUCCCUGAAUAUGGAUGGCCGGGCACGAUACCGACUUCUGGUGAACUUUGACCCACCAUUGGUGCCCGUCAGUUCUACUGAAGAAAGCGACGCUUCGGUUGAACUUAGCUGUUGUUUUGUGGAGGAUGUACAAGUACAUGCAGGCAUGUGGUAGCGGGCAUGAUGGCGUUCAAGGCAUCCAAAGCGUACCAGAUGCGUACUAUGUCAACACUACCCAGGCACUUUUGCCGUCAAGUUCACAAAGAUACCAAAGCCCAAAGCGAUACUAUAAGAAAUCUUCUCAGACCAGACCAUUCCAACCUUUACACGCCCAUUUCCAGCCGCGCCGAUGCAGGAUCCAACCCUGGGGUGUGGACUGUUGGAAAUGGCACGGAGAAGUUUUGUCGCAGUGUCACUUUGGGCUUUGGUAGAAGCAGUUCGCAGCGAUGCUCAACCAGAUGUCUAGACGUCCGUCUGUUGUCUU